AGCGCGGGUGCGAGUCGGAGGGUGCAAGCCCGUGGGCGAAGUGAAAGCGAGUUUAAAAACGAGCAGUUUGGGGCGGCAUAAGAUCGUUGAUCUUAAGACCGACCCGGAGCAGUUGCGCUGGGACCCGAAAGAUGGUGAACUAUGCCGGAGUAGGGCAAAGCCAGAGGAAACUCUGGUGGAGGCUCGUAGCGGUGCUGACGUGCAAAUCGCUCGUCGAACUUGGGUAUAGGGGCGAAAGACUAAUCGAACCAUCUAGUAGCUGGUUCCCUCCGAAGUUUCUCUCAGGAUAGCGGGCCGACAAGUUGUUUUGUGCGGUAAAGCGAAUGAUUAGCGCAUUCGGGGGCGUUUAGCCUUUGGGCGAUUCUCAAACUUUCAAUGCGCAAGGGUGCCGCUGCUUAAUUGAGCGGUACCGGUAAAAACGUCGGCCCUGUGGGCCACUUUUGGUAAGCAGAACUGGCGAUACGGGAUGAACCGUAAGCAAGGUUAAGGCGCCAAACUGCCCGCUUAUAGACCCCACAAAAGGUGUUGAUUCAUCGAGACAGCAGGACGGUGGCCAUGGAAGUCGGAAUCCGCCAAGGAGUGUGUAACAACUCACCUGCCGAAUGAAUUAGCCCUGAAAAUGGAUGGCGCUGAAGCGGGCGGCCGACACCUUGCCGUCUGAACAAGAAUUUCAGAUGAGUAGGAGGGCGUGGCGGCCGUGUCGAAGCGCGCGUGCAGACGCGUGUGGAACGGCCGCUAGUGCAGAUCUUGGUGGUAGUAGCAAGUAUUCAAGCGAGAUCCUUGAAGGGCGAAGUGGGGAAGGGUUUCACGCGAACAUUGAUUGGGCGUGAGUGAGUCGUUCCUAAGCCGAGUGGCAAUUGCUAAUUAACGGCGAAAGGGAAGCGGGUUGACAUUCCCGCACACGGAUGUGGAGGCGGCGACGCAUUAUUGGGGCGAACACGCUGGCGGUGGCGCUGGGCAGAGUUGUCUUUUCUGUUUGACCGCUUGCGCACGCAGUGUGGAAUCCGCUUGUCGGGAGAAACACGCGUGUACGGGCAUAGCGCUGGGGCUUUUCCAGCGUCCAGCUCGCCACCGACGGCCCUUGAAACUUUGCCUGCUG
rnacentral:rRNA from 1 species